AUACGGAGGAUCCGAGCGUUAUCCGGAUUUAUUGGGUUUAAAGGGUGCGCAGGCGGCCAUUUAAGUCAGCGGUUAAAUCGUGGGGCUCAACCCCAUUCUGCCGUUGAUACUGGGUGGCUUGAUUGCGGUCGAGGUUGGCGGAAUUCGUUGUGUAGCGGUGAAAUGCAUAGAUAUGACCAAGAACACCGAUUGCGUAGGCAGCUGACCAGAUCGCAAAUGACGCUCAUGCACGAAAGUGCGGGGAUCGAACAGGAUUAGAUACCCUGGUAGUCCGCACAGUAAACGAUGAAUACUUGUUUUCGGCGAUAUAAUGUCGGAGGCAAAGCGAAAGCGAUAAGUAUUCCACCUGGGGAGUACGCCGGCAACGGUGAAACUCAAAUGAAUUGGCGGGG
rnacentral:rRNA from 1 species